CCUACGGGGGGCAGCAGUGGGGAAUAUUGCACAAUGGGGGAAACCCUGAUGCAGCAACGCCGCGUGAAGGAAGAAGGGUUUCGGCUCGUAAACUUCUAUCGAUAGGGACGAAAGAGAUGACGGUACCUAAAUAAGAAGCCCCGGCUAACUACGUGCCAGCAGCCGCGGUAAUACGUAGGGGGCAAGCGUUAUCCGGAAUUACUGGGUGUAAAGGGAGCGUAGGCGGCAAGGUAAGUAAGAUGUGAAAGCCCGCAGCUUAACUGCGAGGAUUGCAUUUUAAACUAUCUGGCUUGAGUACAGGAGAGGUAAGCGGAAUUCCUAGUGUAGCGGUGAAAUGCGUAGAUAUUAGGAAGAACCCCGAUUGCGAAGGCAGCCUGCCGCAGCGUUACUGACGCUGAAGCUCGAAAGCGCGGGUAUCGAACAGGAUUAGAUACCCUUGUAGUC
rnacentral:rRNA from 1 species